rnacentral:lncRNA from 1 species
UUUAUAAUAUUUUUAUGCUCAGAUUAAAUAUGACGUGUUAACAUUAAUCAGUAGAAUUUGAGAUAAUUUUAUGUAAGGAUAUUAAUCAUUCAAUCAAGGAUACAAUGAUUAUACUAAAUGAAACACUUUAAAGAUCAGAUUUAUUAAUCUUAGAUUUUUAGAAUAGUCUUGAGAAUUACUUAUAAAGAAAAAACAAUCUGUUGUUAUAAAACUUUUUA